rnacentral:rRNA from 1 species
UCUGCUUUUUAAACGAGCUAAACCCGAUGGCGAAAUGAAAGUGAAGGCCGCCCCCUCUUUAACGGGGGGGGAUACAGAACGGCCGAGGCGAGAUCCUAAAAAAGCCGCGCCGUUCGUCUUCGGGCGUUCGGCCGGCGAAAUUUUUAAAAGAAACCGGACAUGGCAGGCACGCUGUCCGCUCGGCGGCGUCAAAACCGUCGCGGCGGUCGGCGGUCCGGAGGCGCAUCGCCGGCCCGUCUCGAUUGCUCCGAUCGUCCGCGCCCUUCUCUCUAUUUCCGUCGCUCUCGGGCCUCGGAUCGGAGUCGGGCAAGGUCGUGAGGAACUGUAGUCAAUGAGGCGGAGCAAGAGCACACACGUUGGGACCCGAAAGAUGGUGAACUAUGCCCGGGCAGGACGAAGCCAGAGGAAACUCUGGUGGAGGUCCGCAGCGAUUCUGACGUGCAAAUCGAUCGUCGGACCUGGGUAUAGGGGCGAAAGACUAAUCGAACCGUCUAGUAGCUGGUUCCCUCCGAAGUUUCCCUCAGGAUAGCUGGCGCUCGGAAUACGAAAAAUAACAAAAAUGAUGAAACAGUCUCAUCCGGUAAAGCGAAUGAUUAGAGGCAUUGGGGCCGAAACGGCCUCAACCUAUUCUCAAACUUUCAAUGGGUGAGAUGUCCGGCUUUCUUAACGCUAAACACGGGGGGCGGAUUUCGUCCGGAGCCCGCGGGCGUGUCGCUUCUUUUUCUUUUCUCGUCGGUCUUUUCGGAGGUCGGUCGGGUGGGGAGGAGAUGGCUUCGCGCUUUAGCGGAUACUUCGGCGGCCGCGCAACCCUUUGAAGCACGGACGUAGGAUGCGAGUGCCCA